AGAGUUUGAUCCUGGCUCAGGACGAACGCUGGCGGCGUGCUUAACACAUGCAAGUCGAACGAAGAGUGAUGGAAGCUUGCUUCUAUCAAUCUUAGUGGCGAACGGGUGAGUAACGCGUAAUCAACCUGCCCUUCAGAGGGGGACAACAGUUGGAAACGACUGCUAAUACCGCAUACGAUCUGACCUCGGCAUCGAGGAUAGAUGAAAGGUGGCCUCUAUUUAUAAGCUAUCACUGAAGGAGGGGAUUGCGUCUGAUUAGCUAGUUGGAGGGGUAACGGCCCACCAAGGCGAUGAUCAGUAGCCGGUCUGAGAGGAUGAACGGCCACAUUGGGACUGAGACACGGCCCAGACUCCUACGGGAGGCAGCAGUGGGGAAUCUUCCGCAAUGGACGAAAGUCUGACGGAGCAACGCCGCGUGAGUGAUGACGGCCUUCGGGUUGUAAAGCUCUGUUAAUCGGGACGAAAGGCCUUCUUGCGAAUAGUUAGAAGGAUUGACGGUACCGGAAUAGAAAGCCACGGCUAACUACGUGCCAGCAGCCGCGGUAAUACGUAGGUGGCAAGCGUUGUCCGGAAUUAUUGGGCGUAAAGCGCGCGCAGGCGGAUUGGUCAGUCUGUCUUAAAAGUUCAGGGCUUAACCCCGUGAUGGGAUGGAAACUGCCAAUCUAGAGUAUCGGAGAGGAAAGUGGAAUUCCUAGUGUAGCGGUGAAAUGCGUAGAUAUUAGGAAGAACACCAGUGGCGAAGGCGACUUUCUGGACGAAAACUGACGCUGAGGCGCGAAAGCCAGGGGAGCGAACGGGAUUAGAUACCCCGGUAGUCCUGGCCGUAA
rnacentral:rRNA from 1 species